rnacentral:rRNA from 1 species
AUUGAACGCUGGCGGCAGGCUUAACACAUGCAAGUCGAGCGGUAACAGAGAGAAGCUUGCUUCUCUGCUGACGAGCGGCGGACGGGUGAGUAAUGCCUAGGAAUCUGCCUAGUAGUGGGGGAUAACUUGCCGAAAGGUAAGCUAAUACCGCAUACGUCCUACGAGAGAAAGGAGGGGACCUUCGGGCCUUUCGCUAUUAGAUGAGCCUAGGUCGGAUUAGUUAGUUGGUGAGGUAAUGGCUCACCAAGACCGCGAUCCGUAACUGGUCUGAGAGGGUGAUCAGUCAGACGGGAACUGAGACACGUUCCAGACUCCUACGGGAGGCAGCAGUGGGGAAUAUUGGACAAUGGGGGGAACCCUGAUCCAGCCAUGCCGCGUGUGUGAAGAAGGUCUUAGGAUUGUAAAGCACUUUAAGGUGGGAGGAAGAGCAGUUAACUAAUAUUUGACUGUUUUGACGUUACCGACAGAAUAAGCACCGGCUAACUUCGUGCCAGCAGCCGCCGUAA